rnacentral:rRNA from 1 species
GAUGAACGCUAGCUACAGGCUUAACACAUGCAAGUCGAGGGGCAGCAUGGUCUUAGCUUGCUAAGGCCGAUGGCGACCGGCGCACGGGUGAGUAACACGUAUCCAACCUGCCGUCUACUCUUGGACAGCCUUCUGAAAGGAAGAUUAAUACAAGAUGGCAUCAUGAGUCCACAUGUUCACAUGAUUAAAGGUAUUCCGGUAGACGAUGGGGAUGCGUUCCAUUAGAUAGUAGGCGGGGUAACGGCCCACCUAGUCUUCGAUGGAUAGGGGUUCUGAGAGGAAGGUCCCCCACAUUGGAACUGAGACACGGUCCAAACUCCUACGGGAGGCAGCAGUGAGGAAUAUUGGUCAAUGGGCGAGAGCCUGAACCAGCCAAGUAGCGUGAAGGAUGACUGCCCUAUGGGUUGUAAACUUCUUUUAUAAAGGAAUAAAGUCGGGUAUGGAUACCCGUUUGCAUGUACUUUAUGAAUAAGGAUCGGCUAACUCCGUGCCAGCAGCCGCGGUAAUACGGAGGAUCCGAGCGUUAUCCGGAUUUAUUGGGUUUAAAGGGAGCGUAGAUGGAUGUUUAAGUCAGUUGUGAAAGUUUGCGGCUCAACCGUAAAAUUGCAGUUGAUACUGGAUAUCUUGAGUGCAGUUGAGGCAGGCGGAAUUCGUGGUGUAGCGGUGAAAUGCUUAGAUAUCACGAAGAACUCCGAUUGCGAAGGCAGCCUGCUAAGCUGCAACUGACAUUGAGGCUCGAAAGUGUGGGUAUCAAACAGGAUUAGAUACCCUGGUAGUCCACACGGUAAACGAUGAAUACUCGCUGUUUGCGAUAUACAGCAAGCGGCCAAGCGAAAGCGUUAAGUAUUCCACCUGGGGAGUACGCCGGCAACGGUGAAACUCAAAGGAAUUGACGGGGGCCCGCACAAGCGGAGGAACAUGUGGUUUAAUUCGAUGAUACGCGAGGAACCUUACCCGGGCUUAAAUUGCAGAUGAAUUACGGUGAAAGCCGUAAGCCGCAAGGCAUCUGUGAAGGUGCUGCAUGGUUGUCGUCAGCUCGUGCCGUGAGGUGUCGGCUUAAGUGCCAUAACGAGCGCAACCCUUGUUGUCAGUUACUAACAGGUUCCGCUGAGGACUCUGACAAGACUGCCAUCGUAAGAUGUGAGGAAGGUGGGGAUGACGUCAAAUCAGCACGGCCCUUACGUCCGGGGCUACACACGUGUUACAAUGGGGGGUACAGAGGGCCGCUACCACGCGAGUGGAUGCCAAUCCCAAAAACCUCUCUCAGUUCGGACUGGAGUCUGCAACCCGACCCCACGAAGCUGGAUUCGCUAGUAAUCGCGCAUCAGCCACGGCGCGGUGAAUACGUUCCCGGGCCU